rnacentral:rRNA from 1 species
UACGUAGGGAGCAAGCGUUGUCCGGAAUCAUUGGGCGUAAAGCGCGCGUAGGCGGCCCGAUAAGUCCGCUGUGAAAGCCAACGGCUCAACUGUUGGAUGCCGGUGGAUACUGUCGGGCUAGAGUACGGAAGAGGCAAGUGGAAUUCCUGGUGUAGCGGUGGAAUGCGCAGAUAUCAGGAGGAACACCUAUAGCGAAGGCAGCUUGCUGGGACGUUACUGACGCUAAGGCGCGAAAGCGUGGGGAGCGAACAGG